rnacentral:rRNA from 1 species
UACGAAGGGGGCUAGCGUUGCUCGGAAUUACUGGGCGUAAAGCGCACGUAGGCGGAUUGGUAAGUCAGGGGUGAAAUCCUGGAGCUCAACUCCAGAACUGCCUUUGAUACUGAAGAUCUUGAGUCCGGGAGAGGUGAGUGGAACUGCGAGUGUAGAGGUGAAAUUCGUAGAUAUUCGCAAGAACACCAGUGGCGAAGGCGGCUCACUGGCCCGGUACUGACGCUGAGGCACGAAAGCGUGGGGAGCAAACAGG